ACCGUGUCGAAGCGACUGAAAGCGAAAGCAACAUCAAGAGCACCCUCUUCAAAACAAUGUGCCGGUUUAUAUCUCGCAUACUCAGUACCGCCAGGCAGUUUACCCGAACACUGUAUUAAAACCAGAUCGGCGAUGUUCUCUCGUUGAAAUAGGCCUCACUAGACAGGACGUGAUUCACUCUCUGUCAACUUAUGGCUGUGUUACACUGCGCAGUGGUUAACUAUACGUUUUAAAAUAUUGAUGUUGCAAUUUAUACAUAUAAAAAUGCAGUCCGGUCUGUCUGUCUGAUCCUGCACAAAUUUCUGCACAAAUUCUUGCACAACUCGCGAACUAAUCAAUCAAGUGGGACCAUAUUUGACAGAUUCUAAGAUGGCAACCUCCGGUUUCUGUAAAACAGCCAAUAAUGGCCGAUUUCCACCCAAUAUAAUAAUAUCCGGAUCAAGAAUGAUACACAGGAGCUAAAAUCGAUACCAUUUUGAAUUCUAAGAUGGCGACUUCCGGAUUCUGAAAAACAGCUGAAAAUGACCAAAUACCACCCAAUAUGAGUGUUUCUUCAACCAGUAUGACGUUCAAAAUCCAGAAAUUGUCUCCAAAUGCCAUUAUGAAAACCAAAAUGGCGACUUCCGGUUUCGGAAAAACAGCGGCAAACGACCAACUACCACCCGAUAUGGGUAUUUUCGGAAUCGUAAUGAUGCACUGGAGCCACGAAUCGACUUCAGACAACAUUUUGAAUUGUAAGAUGACAACUUCCGGUUUCUGGAAAACAGCCUGAAAUGGACGAUUCCCAUUAAAUAUGAGUAUCUCCGGAACCAGAAAGAUGUACGAAAGCUAAAAAUUGAUCACAGACACAAUCUUGAAUUUUAAGAUGGUGACUUCCGGUGGCAAACAGCCGAAAAAGACCAAAUACCAUUCAAAUAUGAAUGUUUCCGGAAUAAUAAUUACGCCCAGAUGACAGAAAGUGACCAAAUACCACCCAAUAUGAGUAUCUCCGGAGCCAGAAUGUUGCAAGAUGCUAAAAAUUGACUUCAGACACCAUUAUGAAUUGUAGAAUGGCAACUUCUGGUUUCUGGAAAACAGCCAAAAAUGGCCGAGCCUUCUGAAUGAAAACCACGCUUGGGAGAGUUAUUGAAUCUGAACCAUUACCCAAAUAAAAAGAUGCUUCGGAAAAACGAUGAAAGCACAUAGGACCUUUUGAAAUGUUUGUCUAGAAAUGUUUAGUUUUCAAUAGCGAUGGUUUACUGGGAUUGUAAGCUUAUGAACAGCACGUUCAGAAAUGAUACCCGAAUGAUUGUUAUGCGAUACGGUUUUAUCCUUCCUUGCUUCUGAUAAUGCUAUACUCUUCGACACCACCAUGAAACAAGACAUUACUGGUAUCCCGGAUCAAUUGCGACCGCAAGAUUUUUUCCAAUUAGUUCCUUAAGAUUUUUUUUUGUGUGUGUGUGUGCCUAUAUCAUAUGUUAUAAAAUGGUUCCAGUCAUAUUAGAGAAAAAAUUAUCUGAGACUCAAU